rnacentral:rRNA from 1 species
UCGUGGAGCGAUUUGUCUGGUUUAUUCCGAUAACGAGCGAGACUCUAUCCUACUAAAUAGUGUGCUCAUUGCCUCUGUGAGUGACACUUCUUAGAGGGAUUUUCGGUGUACAGCCGCACGAAAAGAGCAAUAACA